AAGGAUCAUUACAGAGUUCAUGCCCCUCAGGGUAGAUCUCCCACCCUUGUGUAUCAUUAUAGAAUGUUGCUUUGGCGGGCCGCGCCUCGUGCGCCUAGAUUCGCGUCUAGCGUGCCCGCCGGAGGACCCCUAAACUCUGAAUGUUAGUGUCGUCUGAGUACUAUGAAAUAGUUAAAACUUUCAACAACGGAUCUCUUGGUUCUGGCAUCGAUGAAGAACGCAGCGAAAUGCGAUAAGUAAUGUGAAUUGCAGAAUUCAGUGAAUCAUCGAAUCUUUGAACGCACAUUGCGCCCCUUGGUAUUCCGGGGGGCAUGCCUGUUCGAGCGUCAUUUAUACCAAUCUAGCCUGGCUAGGUGUUGGGCUCCGCCGCCGGGCGGGCCUUAAAACUAGUGGCGGUGCUCUCAGGCUCUACGCGUAGUAAUCUUCUCGCUAUAGGGUCCUGGGAGAUGCUGGCCAGCAACCCCAAAUUUUUCUAGGUUGACCUCGGAUCAGGUAGGGAUACCCGCUGAACUUAA
rnacentral:rRNA from 1 species